CCAAAAACGGUCACUCUUCUGUUGCCAGAAAUACGCACAUACCCACCUGUGUAAAAUCACACUAUAGUUCAAAACUAAUAAUCAGACAGGAUUUUGUGAAAUGUUUGUGGAAUAGAAAAUUAUUCGCCAUGGAAGAGAGUACGUGAAGCAAACGGAAUGGGCAAGUCUUGUCCGAUAAGACCUUGACUUAAAACUACACAUAUUGCAUAGUUGGAUGCAUCGGUGGUGAGCACAAAUGGUUUCUCGAAGUUUGGGUACUGCAACAAGUGUUCAGUACAUAUUGUAUCGCGCAGGACUUCAAAAGCUUCCUGAGUUUCAGGUUUCCAAAUGAAUUCGGCGUCAUCUUUAAGAAGUAAGAUUUUUCUUCCCUUUAGGAACAGGAAACUUUUUCACAGAGUCCGUCUUCCUGGGAUCUGGUCUUACUCCAUCCUGAGGUUUCACAUGUCCCAAAUAAGCGAUUUCUCGUUUAAGGAAAUGGCAUUUCUCCGGUUGUAGCGCCAGCCCAGCUGAUUUCAAUCGACCAAGGAGAGAUGUUAAUUUUUGAU